AAAGCUUGGCUUCAUUUCUUUUCUCUUUUUCCUUCAAUCGAAUCAGCCAUGCUUGUUCUUCGCGGCUUACGACAUUGAUUCAUUUUGUUCAAACUAAUUUUCUAUGUCAUUGAUCUUUCCAAAUCUCUGAAGAUCUUUUCGCUGUUGCUUUGCGAUCAACUACAACGCUACCAAAAUCCAUACUUUGUUCUUCCAAUUUUUAUGCUCUUGUUUUUGUUUCAUCUGUUUUCCUAAUUGUUUGUUUGCUGUUAUGAUCGCACUCUCGUCUGAUUUCGAUUGUAAUUUCCGUUUGUGAUUUUUGUAUCUACUUUGUGUUCCUCUUAAUUUUAGUAAGAAAAUUUUCCUUCUGGCAAGAUGAUUCUCUUUAUUCUUUGGAUUUCUUUGAAAUCAGUUUUUAAAUAUUUUCAAGAUUCUAAUUCUGAAGAAUGAAAUGAUGAGCUUUGUUGUUUUGAUUGCCGUGAUGAUGGCAAUUUUUAGUAUUAGCUCUAGCUGAUCCUUCUCGCUACAAUUGAUUUUGUUUUUCUGGGUCUUGUUUUACAGCAUCAAUUCUCUUUAUUGUCUUUCAUAUGGGUUCUUCUUUCGGUUUAAAUAUUCUUAUGGUUCAAAUUGUUAAGAAUGAAAUGAGGAGCCUUAUUUUAGUUUUGAUUGCUGUCAUGAUGGCAAUUGUUGUAUUAGCUCUAUCUGAUCAUUCUUAAUACUAUUUUGGGCGUCAUUUUAUCUCCCAGCUUAAAAUUUUAUUUCUUUCUCUAUGGCUUUGAAAUUCUAGAUUAAAUGUAAUUAAGGAUGUUUUAUGGCUUAUUCCUCAAAAGAGAAAAAAGGGUUGUUUUAGCUUAAUGUCUUCUAUUGUCUUGUCUUACUACUAACUUUGUAUUUCUCUAGCUGAUCAAUCUUGGUGUCUUUCAUAUUGGUUUUCCUUUUAGUUUAAAUAUUUUUAAGAUUCAAAUAAUCAAGAAUGAAAUGAGGAACAUUGUUGUUUUGAUUGCUGUGAUGAUAGCAAUUAUUGUAUUAGCUCUAUCUGAUCAUUCUUGAUACUAUUUCGGGUGUCCACAUCCUUUUUUUUUAUUUAUUUUUAAAAUUCUCGAUUUAUGUAUGUUAAUUGUCUAUUUCUUGUCUAACUACAUUGGAAAUCUAUGAUAUUGGUUGGUUAUUGUCAUUUUUCUUACAAAGUAGCUUUUUCUGUUUUGGCUAUUUUCAUGUUUCCUUUUAAGAGGCAAUGUCUUUUUUUUCUUUUUAAUUUUUGUGAGUGACGGUGUAAUACAUGCACCUCGACUAAACUCAAACUCACUAGAAAACUUGUGACCUUACAUUAUUUGGGUGUCAAAGGAAUUGGUAAGAUAUUAAAUCUUAAGUAGGUGGUUACCAUAGAUUUAACUUUUGAUCUCUUAGCCUUUUAUCAAGAUCAUGUCCCCUUUUUACCACUAGGACAACCCAGUAUAGUUUUUAAGAGGCAAUGUUACAAUUUUAUAGUUCUUGAAUUAUACUUUAUUGUUCCUAUCUUAUCUUUUGUUAUGUAGCUGUGCAGUGUUGGCAAUACCGUUAAUGAUCAUUCAUUUUAACAAUACUUAUAGUCAUUGUAUCUUGUCUCAGUUGUAGAUUGGUUUGCUUUGUUUGAGAGGAAAAUGAAACUUGAUGUUGGGAACAUAAUAUCUCUUCUUUCCUUUGUAUAGUGACGAUUCAAACUCAAGGUUGCUAAGUUUAUAACUUCUUUUCUAUGUAAUCUAGUUAUAUGCAUUUUGAGGACAGCACAUCAACGGAGUUCAAAUUAAACUUAAAUUUCUAAAACUCACCAAGUCUGAGUGGCUUAUUUUCAUUAAGUCUUCAUUGACCAAGUAAGAAUAGGUUAUUAGAUGGAUGCCAAAUUCAUUGGACUGUUGUUUUGAGAUAUUCAUUGUAUAUUUGGAAGAAAGGCUCCAAUUUUAGAGUGAUUGAUAGUAUUCAACUGUUUUGAUUUCUCUUAUUUACGUUAUUUAUAGUUUACUAGGUUGACAUGAAUGCUACAAGGUUAAAUGUACUUGAUGUUGGUACAUUCUAAGCAUAUCCUUUAUCCAUGGCCCUCCAUUAUAGGCCUAUGCUCAAGCCAACAAAGUCCUAGGAUUCUAUUUAGAUGAUGUUUGAGAUUUUGAAUUUUCACUUUUAACAUCCUCAUCAUCUUCAUUUUAGCUGAACCUCCAGUUCUAGAGAACUCCAUAGUGCCAAAUUUGGGACAACUUUAGCAUGUAAUAAGGUGAUUUUAGGAUCUAUAGGAAAAUGCUCUAGAAUUCCCAACAAUUGAUAUUCAAUGUGUUUUGUUUUGAAGUCAUGGGAUCUGAAUUGCAGUCAAGACUUGGAAUCGCCAAUUUUGAUGGGCAAGAUCUCGGAUUCAUGAAAAUUCAAAUUAAAUGUUACAUUACUUACCUUGGAAAGGAGUGCAUGAAGCAUUACAAUCUUAAUGGAAGCUCAAUGAUAUGGGACCAAAAUUUGAAAUGUUGGAGACUUACCGAUCAAUUAUGGGGUCGUGGACCGACCAUAGUAUUUUGGGAGCUAGCAUUCUUAAGACCAAAGAGGCAGUUGUAGAAAAAGGGAAAGCUCUCCCUUAGAUUUCUUAUAGCUGGAUUUUUCAAAACCAUGAGAAUCGGGUUUAAUUUUCAUUUAUUUUGUAUAAUAAUUGUAGGAUGAGGAUACGAACUUUUGAUUUUGAUUUUUGGGAGAAUGUUAUACCAAUUAUCGUUUUGCUGACUUCCCUUUGGCAACGUAAUGAUUAAUUUGAAACACAGCUCAACCUUUUGAGUGUAAUUUAUUGUUUUUUUUAAUGAGUUGUAAACAAACUAUUAGUUGAAAUAACAAAGUAAGAAGUUGCCUCU